CGAAAACAGAUCAUGCCAUCCUUAACAAUUACAAUGAUUACAUGUAGAUAUGAUUGCAAAUACAACAUAUAUGCGGUAACCGCAUCCAAUAGAACUGCAACUACCUGGCAUUUUGAAGCAUAACAAGUGAAAGUUGUCGAUGGAGGUUAAUGGAAGGAGAGUUUGUUUUGCCCGCCAAGUGGGUGUUCCCAUAGACAUAAUAAAGAGUAGACGCCGCAUUGGCUGCUGGGGCGCGAGAAAUACGGCCGCCAUGUUUGACCGGUCAUACUCCUAUUUGCGUAGCAGCAGAAGCAACGAUGCCAGAGUACUAUGGAGCAUACUCCUGCUCAUAUCGGCGGACCAUCGAAAGCAGGGCUCGGGGGAUUACUUUUCACAAGUGCUGAGUGCUGCAGAGAGGGUGAUCCGCCAAGCUUCACCAAUGCCAGCUCCUAAGGUGUCGACAGUCACAGACAUCGUCCGGGAGGAGAUUGGAACGGAGGAUGUUUUUCUGCUUGGGGAACACAUUGAGGAGACUCAGUUUGGCAUCGACAACCAUCAUUCUGACUUGUUGUCAUUGGUUGUGUCUGUGUUUCUCAAAAUAAGGCUGCACCACAUUACCAAACUCACCUCUCUUGAACUGCAGAAAGGGAGCACGAGGAAGAACUGUCCUCUUUCAGGGGUUUUAGAGCGUGUGCAUGUGUGUGGUUCCACGACAAUUCAAGACUUUAAUCCUAAAUUCCAACAUCCCAAAACUAAUUCUAAGCUUUAUCUGUACUUUAACCUUACUCAUCACACAUAGUAUCUUUAUGUCAUAUCUGUCAUCAUUCUGACAAGAUUAACACUGAAUCUGAAAGCAAUGGCUUAAAACUGCCUGAAAACAGUGGUCUGUCACAUUUUAUGUGAAUACUGCUGUAAGUGUUGUUGGGUCUGUAAAUACCUCUGUUUGUUUGUGUUUCAUGAACUCUAGCCUCAUGGUGUGUGUCUCCAGGAAUCCAAA
ensembl:lncRNA